rnacentral:rRNA from 1 species
UACAGGGGGUGCAAACGUUGCUCGGAAUCAUUGGGCGUAAAGCGCACGUAGGCGGUCUGUUAUGUCGGAUGUGAAAGCCCUUGGCUUAACUGAGGAAGUGCAUCCGAAACUGGCAGGCUAGAGUACUAAAGAGGGUCGCGGAAUUCCCGGUGUAGAGGUGAAAUUCGUAGAUAUCGGGAGGAACACCAGUGGCGAAGGCGGCUUUCUGGCCUGUUCUUGACGCUGAGGCGCGAAAGCUAGGGGAGCAAACGGG